UAAGCUAUCGCUAAAGAAUGGGUCUGCGUCUGAUUAGCUAGUUGGUGAGAUAAAAGCUCACCAAGGCAACGAUCAGUAGCCGGUCUGAGAGGAUGAACGGCCACACUGGGACUGAGACACGGCCCAGACUCCUACGGGAGGCAGCAGUGGGGAAUCUUCCGCAAUGGACGAAAGUCUGACGGAGCAACGCCGCGUGAGUGAUGAAGGUUUUCGGAUCGUAAAACUCUGUUGUUAAGGACGAAUGUAUAGAUUGUGAAUAAUGGUUUAUAAUGACGGUACUUAACGAGGAAGCCACGGCUAACUACGUGCCAGCAGCCGCGGUAAUACGUAGGUGGCAAGCGUUGUCCGGAAUUAUUGGGCGUAAAGGGAGCGCAGGUGGGAAUGUAAGUCAAUCUUAAAAGUGCGGGGCUCAACCCCGUGAUGGGAUAGAAACUAUAUUUCUUGAGUGCAGGAGAGGAAAGUGGAAUUCCUAGUGUAGCGGUGAAAUGCGUAGAUAUUAGGAGGAACACCAGUGGCGAAGGCGACUUUCUGGACUGUUACUGACACUGAGGCUCGAAAGCUAGGGGAGCGAACGGGAUUAGAUACCCCGGUAGUCCUAGCCGUAAACGAUGGGUACUAGGUGUAGAGGGUAUCGACCCCUUCUGUGCCGGAGUUAACGCAAUAAGUACCCCGCCUGGGGAGUACGCCGCAG
rnacentral:rRNA from 1 species